GAUGAACGCUGGCGGCGUGCCUAAUACAUGCAAGUCGAGCGAACGGACGAGAAGCUUGCUUCUCUGAUGUUAGCGGCGGACGGGUGAGUAACACGUGGAUAACCUACCUAUAAGACUGGGAUAACUUCGGGAAACCGGAGCUAAUACCGGAUAAUAUUUUGAACCGCAUGGUUCAAAAGUAAAAGACGGUCUUGCUGUCACUUAUAGAUGGAUCCGCGCUGCAUUAGCUAGUUGGUAAGGUAACGGCUUACCAAGGCAACGAUGCAUAGCCGACCUGAGAGGGUGAUCGGCCACACUGGAACUGAGACACGGUCCAGACUCCUACGGGAGGCAGCGGUAGGGAAUCUUCCGCAAUGGGCUAAAGCCUGACGGAGCAACGCCGCGUGAGUGAUGAAGGUCUUCGGAUCGUAAAACUCUGUUAUUAGGGAAGAACAUAUGUGUAAGUAACUGUGCACAUCUUGACGGUACCUAAUCAGAAAGCCACGGCUAACUACGUG
rnacentral:rRNA from 1 species